ACCAAGCCCUCUUCUUUUCCAAAAAUGACUACAUCCAAAAGCGACACCCCAGUGACCAGGGAGAACCGGCGAGACAACGACCACAACCAGUGACUACAUCCGUCCUCUCCUCUGUCUCUCCGUCGCCGCUGCUCCGACUGGCGAGUCAGCGACCACCACCAACACCACCCUCUCCUUCCUCUUCUCCAUUCACUGUCACUCCAACCUUGACCGGUGGAGAUUGGCGGCACUCUCUCUUCUUGCCAUCUCCACCAGAGAAUGGGACCAACACAAUGCGACCCCACUGUUUCCCUCCCCUGUGCAGGCAAAACCCUUUGUUCUCCUCCGGCGAAGUCGACAACAACAACUUGUCAUUAUUGUUGUUUCACGUCCCGACCAGCGAGUUGUGGCCAGCGAGCCUUAAUGAAGCGAAAUGCCGACGAGAACCUUAAGCCAACUCCGAUCAAUAACGACAACAUAUCAACAGACCAAUCGGAAAGAUCAAUGUAAAAUGGUACUUAUUUUAUUACUGUUAAAAGGCUCCAAUCCGAAUAUGUCCUCCUAAUACCCAUUUGCUAUACACAAUCUAUUCGACUCCAUGUUUUCCUUAGAACAAACUCUUAGGGAUCUUCUAAAGGGAGAGGGGAUCAUUAUGUGCUACCUGACAUAAAGUGUAUUAUUAUUGAGUUGUAUUUUUGUACCUUAGAAAAGCCUUCCUAGUGUGUCCUCCCUUAUUAUCCCAAGUUAUUUUAUCUUUUAUGUUACUCCAUUCCACUCUUUUGUUAAUUAAGGCUUAGAUCACUACCUGGAUUUUGUCAGCUCCUUAGCUCUAUAAAGUUUUUGUUCUUCUUUAGCUGACAGAUCCCCCAUCUUUUGUAUCUUUGCAUCUACUGGAUGCCUUAACAAAAUCUCACUUAUUUCAUUAAAAAAAGCACCCCGUCUUGCUGUUGAGUAGCUAUGCUUUUGGGCUGGACAGACUAGUUGAGGUAUGUGUGAGCUAGCCAAGAUAUAAAAUAUACUGACAUCCCGUGGUCGGUAAAUUAAUACUUCUUUUUAAAAAAAUGAUAAUUGCAAAACCCUAAGUUAUCUCUUUCACUUUUAAACCUCUCACUCCUCUCUCACGCUACGCCCACCCCCACCCAUCCCGACCCACCCUCACCCGGCUCCCACCCCCACUAAUUCCCGAUCGGCGCUGCCUCGAUCAGUAACAGGUCACGCCACCAUCCCCGACCAGCGCAACAGGAGGUCGCAGCAGUAAGAGGUCGUGCCCAGCAGCAGCAGCAGGUCGCAGCAGCAGCGCGGAGGGCGAUGAGGCGGACAUAUUAUUGCGUGGUUACUUUGGUUGGAACUCAAGGCGUGCUAUACAUGUCCUUGUUCAAGUGUUUCCAAAGGCUAACAUGAUCAAGAAGACUGGAACUACCGUAGUUGGCACAAAUAAAAAGAAGUGGAUUUUUUAAGGAAAUUGAGGUCAAGUAUCGACUUCAACAUGCUCGACUUUUGGAUUGAUGAUUUCAUAAAGAUUUAUUGCAAAUUUACUGGAGAUUUUAAUUCCAUUUUAAUUAGGAGUUAAUUAGUUGGUUUUAUGUUGAGAUUAUUACAUUUAGUUAGAUCUCAAUUUUACUUGAGAUAGAAAAGAUAAUUUGUGUUGACAUUGCUUACUUCU